rnacentral:rRNA from 1 species
GACGAACGCUGGCGGCGUGCUUAACACAUGCAAGUCGAACGGAAAGGCCCUGCUUUUGUGGGGUGCUCGAGUGGCGAACGGGUGAGUAACACGUGAGUAACCUGCCCUUGACUUUGGGAUAACUUCAGGAAACUGGGGCUAAUACCGGAUAGGAGCUCCUGCUGCAUGGUGGGGGUUGGAAAGUUUCGGCGGUUGGGGAUGGACUCGCGGCUUAUCAGCUUGUUGGUGGGGUAGUGGCUUACCAAGGCUUUGACGGGUAGCCGGCCUGAGAGGGUGACCGGCCACAUUGGGACUGAGAUACGGCCCAGACUCCUACGGGAGGCAGCAGUGGGGAAUAUUGCACAAUGGGCGGAAGCCUGAUGCAGCAACGCCGCGUGCGGGAUGACGGCCUUCGGGUUGUAAACCGCUUUCGCCUGUGACGAAGCGUGAGUGACGGUAAUGGGUAAAGAAGCACCGGCUAACUACGUGCCAGCAGCCGCGGUGAUACGUAGGGUGCGAGCGUUGUCCGGAUUUAUUGGGCGUAAAGGGCUCGUAGGUGGUUGAUCGCGUCGGAAGUGUAAUCUUGGGGCUUAACCCUGAGCGUGCUUUCGAUACGGGUUGACUUGAGGAAGGUAGGGGAGAAUGGAAUUCCUGGUGGAGCGGUGGAAUGCGCAGAUAUCAGGAGGAACACCAGUGGCGAAGGCGGUUCUCUGGGCCUUUCCUGACGCUGAGAAGCGAAAGCGUGGGGAGCGAACAGGCUUAGAUACCCUGGUAGUCCACGCUGUAAACGGUGGGUACUAGGUGUGGGGUCCAUUCCACGGGUUCCGUGCCGUAGCUAACGCUUUAAGUACCCCGCCUGGGGAGUACGGCCGCAAGGCUAAAACUCAAAGGAAUUGACGGGGCCCCGCACAAGCGGCGGAGCAUGCGGAUUAAUUCGAUGCAACGCGUAGAACCUUACCUGGGUUUGACAUGGAUCGGGAGUGCUCAGAGAUGGGUGUGCCUCUUUUGGGGUCGGUUCACAGGUGGUGCAUGGCUGUCGUCAGCUCGUGUCGUGAGAUGUUGGGUUAAGUCCCGCAACGAGCGCAACCCUUGUUCACUGUUGCCAGCACGUUAUGGUGGGGACUCAGUGGAGACCGCCGGGGUCAACUCGGAGGAAGGUGGGGAUGACGUCAAGUCAUCAUGCCCCUUAUGUCCAGGGCUUCACGCAUGCUACAAUGGCUGGUACAGAGAGUGGCGAGCCUGUGAGGGUGAGCGAAUCUCGGAAAGCCGGUCUCAGUUCGGAUUGGGGUCUGCAACUCGACCUCAUGAAGUCGGAGUCGCUAGUAAUCGCAGAUCAGCAACGCUGCGGUGAAUACGUUCCCGGGGCU